rnacentral:rRNA from 1 species
GACUCUCGGCAACGGAUAUCUCGGCUCUUGCAUCGAUGAAGAACGCAGCU